rnacentral:rRNA from 1 species
AAGAGAUCGGGGAUAACACCUGGGAAACAGGAUAGCUAAUACCGGAUAACAACAGAUGAUGCCUAUCAAACUGUUUAAAAAGAUGGUUCUGCUAUCACUCUUGGAUGGACCUGCGGUGCAUUAGCUAGUUGGUAGGGUAACGGGCCUACCAAGGCGAUGAUGCAUAGCCCGAGUUGAGAGACUGAUCGGCCACAUUGGGGACUGAGACACGGGCCCAAACUCCUACGGGAGGCAGCAGUAGGGAAUCUUCCACAAUGGACGCAAGUCUGAUGGAGCAAACGCCGCGUGAGUGAAGAAGGGUUUCGGCUCGUAAAAAGCUCUGUUGUUGGUGAAGAAGGACAGGGUAGUAACUGACCCUUUGUUUGACGGUAAUCAAUUAGAAAGUCACGGGCUAACUACGUGCCAGCAGCCGCGGUAAAU